rnacentral:rRNA from 1 species
CCCUUAGAUGUUCUGGGCCGCACGAGUGCUACACUGAGUGGAUCAGCGGGUCAGGUUGCGCGAAAGUGUUUCCUAAUCUUUAAAUCCGCUCGUGAUGGGGAUUGACGGUUGCAAUUUUCCGUCAUGAACGAGGAAUACCUUGUAAGCGCGGGUCAUCAUCCCGCGCUGAAUACGUCCCUGCCCUUUGUACACACCGCCCGUCGCUCCUACCGAUUGAGUGGUCCGGUGAGGCUUUGGGAUCUGAGCGGAAAGAGCGUUUCGCUGUUUCUGCCCGGAAAACUCAGUCGAACCUUAUCAUUUAGAGGAAGGAGAAGUCGUAACA